rnacentral:lncRNA from 1 species
ACAAGUCACAUUUCACAAGUCAAAUAGUAAAAACAAGAAUAGUAGAAAAUUCACGAGCCAUAAGAGAAAGAUUAAUUAUGUUUUUUUUUCCUUAUAUUUUUAAAGUCAAAUUAGUCAUUAUUUUCCUUUUUUUUUUAGUCAAAUUAUGUUUUUUUUUAAAUUAUUUUCUGUUGUUCCGGCGCCGUUCCGGUACCGUUCCGGCCGUGUCAGGGCCGUUCCGUGGCUCCGUCUCGCCCAUCCCACCGAUUUCUCGGCGUUCCGAUGAAUCCCAGUGCAAACACCGUUCUGGUUACGGAUUCCGGAACGGAGGGCACCGUUCCCGUUCCGGAACGGCCGUUCCGGCGAACCAUGACCACAACCCAAUGUUUUAAAGAUCCGGCUCCCAUCCUCCGCCACGAGCGUCUCUGUGCCAUCCUCUCCCCUCACCACCACCACCGCACACACUUCCAAGAGAAUCUCUUCUUCGACAGCCCAAACGUCGAGCUCGCCUCCAGCCUCGCCGCCCUCCGCCUCCGCUUCUACGACCUAGAUAUAAAUCAAGUACUGGUCUUAAGUGAAAAUGAAAAAUAACAGAGAGAAAUUGUUAAUCAUGCAAGGGCACGGUUAUAAAUUAUAGAUGUAAACAGUGGGCGACAAGGGCAAGGAAGAAACAUGUGGGUCCUGCAUCGGAACCUUUGGGUCAGUUGCAUAACCUAAAAUCCACCAAAAUAAUUCAGACUCAGAUAAUACAAAAUAAACCUAAAGAAAUAACGAUUCAAAGGCUGAAAAAGAGAGAGAGAGAGAGAGAGAGAGAAUUGGAGAAGAAGAGGGAGAACCAACAGAGGUUUAUGUGCUGUUGAUUUCUUCUACUUUACUUUUUU